UACGGAGGGUGCGAUCGUUGUCCGGAAUCACUGGGCGUAAAGGGCGCGUAGGCGGCGCGGGAAGUCAUCGGUGAAAGUUCAGGGCUCAACUCUGAAUCGGCCGGUGAUACUCUCGUGCUUGAGCACUGUAGAGGCAGGUGGAAUUCCGGGUGUAGCGGUGGAAUGCGUAGAGAUCCGGAAGAACACCGGUGGCGAAGGCGGCCUGCUGGGCAGUAGCUGACGCUGAUGCGCGACAGCGUGGGGAGCAAACAGG
rnacentral:rRNA from 1 species